ACAGUUCGGUCCCUAUCUGCCGUGGGUGUAGGAUACUUGAGAGGAGUUGCCCCUAGUACGAGAGGACCGGGGUGAACGAUCCACUGGUGGACCUGUUGUGGCGCCAGCCGCAGUGCAGGGUAGCUAUGAUCGGAAAGGAUAACCGCUGAAGGCAUCUAAGCGGGAAGCCCCCCUCAAAACAAGGUAUCCCUGAGGGCCGUAGCAGACUACUACGUCGAUAGGCCGGAGAUGUAAGCGCAGCAAUGCGUUCAGUUGACCGGUACUAAUUGCCCGAUAGGCUUGAUUUGAUCCAG
rnacentral:rRNA from 1 species